rnacentral:rRNA from 1 species
GCCAGUCAUGUCUAAGUACAAACAAUAAGAAAAUGUUGAAACCGCAUACAGGCUCAAGUAUAACAGCUAUAAAUCACAAGAUCAUCUACCACUAGUUUACUUGGAUAACUGUGGAAAAUCCAGAGCUAAUACAUGCAACAUGCCGGGACUGUUGCCUCUGCGCGGGUAGCUGAAAUGGUUGUUGCACUUUAUUAGUUAAAAACCAAUUCGCCUCCGGGCGGCUUGAGUUGAAGUCUGGAUAAGGGAGCAGAUCGUAUGGUCGCUUGUCGACUGACGACAGAUCUUUCAAAUGUUCUGCCCUUCAUAACUAUUGAUGGUAGUGGUGAGGACUACCAUGGUUGCGGACGGGUAACCGGGGAAAUCAGGGUUCGAUUUCCGGAGAGGGAGCCUGAGAAAUGGCUACCACAUCCAAGGAAGCAGCAGGC